ensembl:lncRNA NSUN5P1 NSUN5 pseudogene 1
GGGAACAUGGGGCUGUACGCUGCGGUGGCAGGCGUGCUGGCCGGCGUGGAGAGCCGCCAGGGCUCUAUCAAGGGGCUGGUGUACUCCAGCAACUUCCAGCCUUGAUGACUUACAAGCCCUCAAGGGGAAGCAUUUUCUCCUGGACUCCUUGAUGCCGGAGCUGCUGGUGUUUCCCGCCCAGACAGAUCUGCAUGAACACCCACUGUACCGGGCCGGACACCUCAUUCUGCAGGACAGGGCCAGCUGUCUCCCAGCCAUGCUGCUGGACCCCUGCCAGGCUCCCAUGUCAUCGAUGCCUGUGCCGCCCCAGGCAAUAAGACCAGUCACUUGGCUGCUCUUCUGAAGAACCAAGGAUCUUUGCCUUUGACCUGGAUGCCAAGCGGCUGGCAUCCAUGGCCACGCUGCUGGCCUGGGUUGGCGUCUCCUGCUGUGAGCUGGCUGAGGAGGACUUCCUGGCGGUCUCCCCCUUAGAUCCGCGCUAUCGUGAGGUCCACUAUGUCCUGCUGGAUCCUUCCUGCAGUGGCUCGGGUAUGCCGAGCAGACAGCUGGAGGAUCCCGGGGCAGGGACACCUAGCCCGGUGCGUCUGCAUGCCCUGGCAGGGUUCCAGCAGCGAGCCCUGUGCCACGCGCUCACUUUCCCUUCCCUGCAGCGGCUCGUCUACUCCAUGUGCUCCCUCUGCCAGGAGGAGAAUGAAGACAUGGUACCAGAUGCGCUGCAGCAGAACCCGGGCGCCUUCAGGCUAGCUCCCGCCCUGCCUGCCCGGCCCCACCGAGGCCUGAGCACGUUCCCGGGUGCCGAGCACUGCCUCCGGGCUUCCCCCAAGACCACGCUUAGCGGUGGCUUCUUCGUUGCUGUAAUUGAACGGGUCGAGAUGCCGAUCUCAGCCUCACAGGCCAAAGCAUCAGCACCAGAACGCACACCCAGCCCAGCCCCAAAGAGAAAGAAGAGACAGCAAAGAGCCGCAGCCGGUGCUUGCACACCGCCUUGCACAUAGCAGAGGCUCCAGGCUGACUCCUUCCUGGUGGGAAAGGAAGAUGCCUGUCCUCUCCGUGGAGGACCCUGGGCCCUCACCGCAGGCAGCAGUUUGCAUUUUGAAAGGUUAUUGGGUCCCUUCCUCGGGCUGUGUUCUUGCUGGUGAGCAAAAGUGUUGCCUGCAGAAAUAAAAUGCAGAACGUACUCUA